UGCAUUUGAAGUAGCAGACACCUCCUUAAAUCUUUACUGGUUGCCUUCAGUUGGGAUACUAAUCAUCGGUGUUGCUAUAUGAGGGGUGUCCUCGGUUUCUGAAUGGGUGGACCUGCUCCACUCUUCUUGUUCUGCCUUGUGGCAGAAUUCUUAACCUUUUAUGUUUCUCCUUAUUCUUAGAACUCACCAGACUGGCUGCUGGAAACCUCUCUCUUGUCUUCCAGAAGUCAUGGAGAUCCCCCCUCAGGACUCUGGCUGGGGAGAAAUAAGUUUCUCCAGGUGUGACCCCACAGUUGGGACAGCCCGGCACGGCACUUGCUCACUGCUUCCCACCUCCUCCUUGGGAGAGGCUGCCCCGUGCAGCUAGUACUGGAACAAGAAAAUGCUUCAGAAAAAGAAACCUGACCAAAGACUACAGGAAUAAAUGACAGCACACUGAUUGAUUGAUAG